AAUUGCAGUCCUUGUGUCUUAGACUGCUUUUCAAGUUUACCUAGGACCCCAAAGUACUUCAGCCCAUGCUGGCAAGGUUUGCUGAGAAACUCAAAUUCUGACUGCUGGAAUGGGGCAAUUCCCCUCUGGCUAGGGCUGGUCCAACUUCUUCCAUGCACAGGCACUGGCUGAUCCCAGUGUGGCUUUAUUCUCUACUGUGACAGGACAUUACUGAGUUCAAUGUAAAGUCCCCCAGUCGCUGAGCUCUCCUUCCCCAAAGGGCACAGAUUGUCUUUCUGCACUGCACAGUCAUUGUCCAGAGGUGGGAGAAAGGGCAUUGGCAAUUCAAGACUGUCUAUCUUGCCCUCCUCAAUGCCUCUUUUGACAAUAUGAAGUUAAAACCAGGUACUGUGAUUGCUCACCUGAUUUUGGUUCUUGUGAUGUUGCUUUUCUGUGUGGAGGUAGUUGUUAAAAUUUGGUGUUUUAGCAGGGGAGAACAAUGGUGUAGGCUUCUGUUUUGUCAUCUUGCUCCAUCCUCUCUCCUUGGGUAUUUUACAUUACAAUUUAAUUUCCAUAGAAAUUAUAGGGCUGUUCAGACGAGAUCGGGCACAUUCCGGGUGGUAUGGCCGUAGGCUAUAGGCCUAUUCAAAUGGUCUAUUUCAUAUUGGGUCUGCCGUGAUAUCUCCUGUUUCAUUCCUGCAUCGUUAGAUAUUCUGGCAUCUCUGGCAUCUUGAUGUUAUCACGUAUGAAUUUUUUUUUGUCGUUUAAUUUCAGAUAUUCCUGGUUCUUGCUGUGAUGAGUAGUUUUUGAUGGAAACUUUUCAAUCAUCAAACAAUACAUUUUCAUAUUUUGUUAUAAGGUUCUGGAUUUUAUUUGAGCUUUUGGUUUUAGCUGGCUUUAUUUUACUACACUCUGUUAGAGGAAGGGACACUGCCUCAUUACUGCCAGGUGGAGGGACAAGUUCAGACUCUCCAAAAGGUCUGCAUGAACACCAUGGCAGGGGUGGCUUUUAUUCUGGCUGAUAGGGUAAACGUCCUUGCUCCUGCCUUGCCUUCCUUGACAUACCUUUGUUAUAUCCUUCUGUGUGUGGAAGCCUAGACUCCCCAUUUGGCCUUUGCUGGUGGAUGUGGAGUAAAAAACAAAACAGGCAUAGAGCCAGAAGAGCAAAGAAAGCAGCAAAGAGGUCCAUCCACUUAUGAGAGAACUGAAUAAAUAGCCAGAAGAUGGAAAACAAGGGAAAUAAAUGAUGACAAAGUAGAGAAAGAGACAGACCAACUACACGAAGAAGUUUGCUUCCAAGGAAAUCCUUCUCCAGUGACCAGAGGAAUGACCAGCUCCCCACCUUCUCACUGUCCAGCAGUCCCUGCUAACCCACAGAUCUCUGAUACCAUGCCAAAUUAAAUGGUGACAGUGGAAAUCCUUGUCUUAUUUCUGGUGAUGAAGAUUAGGUUCUUCAAUGCGGACACUGAGGUGAAGUUGGUGGUGCAAGAUGAGAGGAAGCUGGCUUACGGCACAGGGAGAAGCUGAACUUCGGUGCAACUCCCACAAACCUUAGCCAACUUGGUGGGGAGCUUUGGUGCCAAUAUUUCCUGUUGAAGUAGUCCUGUCUUGGACUUCUCAGCAUUGUACUAGGCCCUUAAGCACCCUCUUCAAUCAGUUAUUAGAUACAAGACAGCUCAGGAAGACCGUGGCAUUAGGACAGGCAGCUCUCUGCAGCUGAGGCAGCCCCGGUAGGAGCUGACAGCUGAAGAUUGUCUGGAAACUGUACCACCUACCACCAGGCAGUGAGUCCUUCUCCGAAAAAGGAUCUGGGUCAGAUGGAUGCUCAUUAACUUUCACGCACCUUUGUUUUCUCACAUACACAUCAAGUCUGUGAAUGUCCUUCUAAUCUCUGCUUUAUGUGUAUUACACAGUUCUGCGAUGUGUUUUUGUUAGUAUUCAGUACAAACACAUUUAAAAACAUUUGUCAUUAUGAUUUCUUUUUUGACACAUAGAUAUAGUUAGAUGUAUUUUUCUUAACUUCUAAAAUGUAUAGUUUUUGCCAGCUAUAUUUUUGUCAUCAGUAUUAGUUUAACUACAACAUGCUUAUAAAUAUAAUCGGCAUGAUUUCAUCAUUUUAAACUUUAUUGAGACUUGCUUUAUGUCCCAAUAGUCAAUUUUGUAAAUGAUAUUCUUCAAAAAAAUGUGUAUUCUGUAGUUGUUAGGUGUUCCUAUUCGAGAGGCUGUAACCAGGGUCUCCAACCACCAGAAAGGAAUGCUAUCUGCUAGUGGCUACUGUGGAUUAUUUUUUCAUUAUCCUCCUUUAAAAUGCAAAUAUCCUUUGGAGUGUUGAGUAAUGAACGUCUUAAAAUUGGGUAUGAGAAUGAACUGAAUUACCGAGGGAGUGGGAUUUGUGGGAAAGGACACACACACUCACACACACUCACACACACACCACUGUUUAUUGCAGGCUUAGUAACAUGCAAGUUUAUUGUGUUCACAUACAUUAUUUCACUGAAUCCCCACAAUAAUUCUGAGAGAAGGGUAUUCUACCCAUUUUAUACAUAGGAAGCUGAGGCUCAAAGAGUUUAAAGAGCUUGCUAAUAUUUGAACUCAGAGGUAUCUGAUACUGGAUUCCAUGCUCUUAAUUGCUAUGUGCCUGUCUCCCCAUAACUAGCCUCAGUUCCUUUAAUACACUAAUUUGGUCAUCUGAUUCACAAUGCAGUUAUCAUUACAUUUGUAAAGGUUUUCUCUGAUUCUAAUGGAUAUUGAAAAGAUAAGUGAUGGCAGAAUCACUUAUUCUUUAAUUUUUAAGCAUUAUCAGUGAAUCAUUAUGUAGACGGCUUAGGCUAUGAGCUCAAGAUUAUGUUAUGAGCUCAAGAAAUGCAAAGGUAAAGAAAACACAGUCCAGUCCAGUAAGAUUGGGAGACAGACAUGUGUACACACAAUGAGAAGUCAUGAAGGGAAGGUGGGCUGGCUGUGGAAUUAGUCACCUUGAAGUCUGUCUAAGGAGAGGGCUGGUAUCAGGGUGUGGACAUUUUACAUUUCUAUCACAGCAUUGUAGUUGAUCUUAGAGACUCCUACCGAAGUUUGGGGAGAAGAGAGGUAAUACAGGGAUUUAUUUUAAAUUUCUUCUUAUAAUUAGGUCAAUUCCAGAAUAUGAGGAAUGAAUGACAGUUCAAACACAGUGUCUGAAAAAGGUAACCACAUUUUGUAAAGAUUCCUUAAAUCAAUAGGUUGAAAUUCCAGUAAUAGAGCUCCAAAAUUUCAGGGGAGCCUAUCCUAUGGGAAAGCAGAGCCCUGUUGCUGGAAAUCCACUAAGCCAUUUACAAGGAGUAAAGAAGGGCUUUCUGAAAUGUUGACUUAGGGACACAGAGCUUAAACUCAGAGCACUUAUUUUCUUCUCUGCUCUCCGGCUUUCUGUCUCUGGCUGCAUCAUUAUUCUUUAUUGACUAUUUCAUAAACUCACAUUCCCUCAGCUUGGUUAAGGAAGGCAGUCUUUAAUCUUGGCGGAGCAGAUAAGGACAAUUAAAUCCUGGGCCUGCUUCCUGACACAGAUGACGGGGCUGCCUUCCUGGAACAUCAUCUUCAUGUCAUGGGUUCUGCUGUCACUUAUUUUGUUCAGAAUGUGUCAGGACAGCUAGCAUGACCUCAGCAUUCCCCUCAGGCUGGUGCUUCUUUAAUGCUGAAUAAAAUGUUCUCCUGGACUCUUUCAGGGUGGAUUUGAGACCCAGCCCUGUGGGCUGAAGGAGGAUGGGUGCAGGUCUGUGAAUCUCUUCUUAAUCUUUCAGCUAGAAAUAACUACUCCUUUCUGUGGUCCUUUUGCAAUUUACUCAUGGCUUCUUUUCUUUUCUUUUACUUCUUUUAUUUUCUUUUAUGAUUGUUCUUACAAUAGCCUGCUUUGAUCUCCACUACGUCUGGUUAUUGGAGAAUACAUCAACUGUUUUGUUGACUCAGCAAUACUUAAUCAAUUCUAAUUUCAGCACUAUUUCUUUUGAAAAUUCCUCUCACCUACUUUUGCCAGUAUAGUAAGGCUAUCAGUUUCAGCAGUAGGUUUCUUUGAUCUCCAGAACAGGUUUAGGAUCCAGGUUUGGCCCAUCAUAGUACACCAUUAUUUUGGCUUCAGUGAUUGGCUCCUCAGUGAAAUCAUGAUCCUAAAGUUGACCAAUCAGAGGUUUUUCCUGGGGAUUUUUAUAUAUGGAUACUGGGGACAGAUGGUAUUUUUUUCCUCUUGUAGUGCAAGCUGAAAGAAUGUGGUUACAAAUCUAAUUAUGGUGAUGCCCUUUAACUUAUGGAUGGGCAUAAGGGAGUGAGGCCAAAAUGCAACUUUAAGCCAAGCGAGAGAUAGAGAGAUGGAGACUGCUAGUCGGGAUGCUGUUUGAAUCCCUGAAUGCAGUCUUUCCUGAGACUAAAUUAUAUUUAGUCUUUUAACCGUAACUGCUAAAAGUAAUUUUUUACUUUUAAACUUAGAAUAUAAGUUCAAAGAGUGAAAGCAGAGAUUUUUCUUUACAUUUUCACUGCUAUAAUUCCAAAUGCCUAGAACAGUGCCUGUCACAUAGUAGGCAGUCAAUUAAUAUUUGCUUAAUGAAUAUUUGCAACUGAAUGAAACAGGAUAAUCAGAGUAUGCAUGUCUUCCUAACUGUUUUAAGGGAUUCUUGGGAAAAAAACCCAGGGAGCAAUUAUCAUAGAGUUGUUGGAAUUAAAGCUAGUUUGUGGGACUGUCCUGAGAAUUUAUUGUUAUUGAAAUUUUUUUAAAUUUUGAAGUGUAACACACAGAAAAGUGCAUAAAGCACAAAUAAGCAGUGUAAUGGGAUUAUUUAUAAAGUGGACCCAUGACCACUAGGUAGUUCAAGAAAUAGAAGGCUUCCAGCCUUCCAGAAGCUUCUCGUAUUUCCCAUCUGGAAUAUUUCCCUCUGUACCAGCCAGAGGUAAACAACAUGCUGAAUUUUAUGGUAAUCACUUCAUUGCUUUGUUUUAUAAUUGUAGCCCCACUAUAUGCAUCACAGGACAAUGCUAUUUAGUUUUGAA
rnacentral:lncRNA from 10 species